AGAGUUUGAUCAUGGCUCAGGAUGAACGCUGGCGGCGUGCCUAAUACAUGCAAGUCGAGCGAAUGGAUUAAGAGCUUGCUCUUAUGAAGUUAGCGGCGGACGGGUGAGUAACACGUGGGUAACCUGCCCAUAAGACUGGGAUAACUCCGGGAAACCGGGGCUAAUACCGGAUAACAUUUUGAACUGCAUGGUUCGAAAUUGAAAGGCGGCUUCGGCUGUCACUUAUGGAUGGACCCGCGUCGCAUUAGCUAGUUGGUGAGGUAACGGCUCACCAAGGCAACGAUGCGUAGCCGACCUGAGAGGGUGAUCGGCCACACUGGGACUGAGACACGGCCCAGACUCCUACGGGAGGCAGCAGUAGGGAAUCUUCCGCAAUGGACGAAAGUCUGACGGAGCAACGCCGCGUGAGUGAUGAAGGCUUUCGGGUCGUAAAACUCUGUUGUUAGGGAAGAACAAGUGCUAGUUGAAUAAGCUGGCACCUUGACGGUACCUAACCAGAAAGCCACGGCUAACUACGUGCCAGCAGCCGCGGUAAUACGUAGGUGGCAAGCGUUAUCCGGAAUUAUUGGGCGUAAAGCGCGCGCAGGUGGUUUCUUAAGUCUGAUGUGAAAGCCCACGGUUCAACCGUGGAGGGUCAUUGGAAACUGGGAGACUUGAGUGCAGAAGAGGAAAGUGGAAUUCCAUGUGUAGCGGUGAAAUGCGUAGAGAUAUGGAGGAACACCAGUGGCGAAGGCGACUUUCUGGUCUGUAACUGACACUGAGGCGCGAAAGCGUGGGGAGCAAACAGGAUUAGAUACCCUAGUAGUCC
rnacentral:rRNA from 1 species